rnacentral:piRNA from 1 species
UGAUGAGGGGCAUGGCCUAGAGUGG